GGAAUACUAAAACAUUUGUAAGACUUACCAUAUAUUCGGGCCUAACACUUUUUAAAAGGGAACAAGAAUUUUUUAUUAGUAUAAAACGCUUCUCAGAGAAGACUUUAGAAGGUAAGACUAUUGUACCCACCUGAUUAUAUCAGGACCAAUUUUAGUAAGUAACUACGGUGUUUUGGUUUUAGA
rnacentral:other from 1 species